GACGAUGAUGAUGAUGAUGAUGACAUAGUUGAAUCAAGAAAAUAAAGAUAAUGAAAGAAAACCAUUCCAAAGCUUCAAUUAUAUAUUCCUGAAAAAUUAAUAAAACCCAUAUCAAUGCUAAUUAAAUUAUCCCAGAAAAAAAUAGAAAUAGGGAUUCAUUGAUGAGAAAUAGAAUUGUGAGUUUUUCUCAUCGGCAAUACUUUUUUGAUACAUGAAUUGAUAAGCUAUUGGAUAUAAAGAGCUGGCUACUUGCUUGGUGUUCCAGGUUGAUUUCUCU
rnacentral:misc_RNA from 1 species